CGUGGGCCGGCGAAUCCCCGGCCUCACAUCAGAGUGAGAGGCGCUGGCAAUGGACUAGGAAGCUCGGCUGCCGCUGCUACUGCUCCCCCCUGGGCUCCGGCGAGAGCCUUUCCCUGUCAAGCAAGAGGGGUGAGGAUCAUAUUUUUAUUUUGGAAACUAAAAAGUGCUCCCAGGGUCGGUGAUUAUUAAGGGGAAAUCCCUGAAUAUACUCUCCAGCCAAGAAGGCAGGGCUGCCGGGGCUGUACAAGAAGAGGCAGCAGCCUCCUACAGCACCACUACAGGCACUGCGAGGACAUAACACCAGAGAGCUGCUCCUCUGCCCUCCGAAACGACAACUUUCCUACCAUCUUGGAGGCAGAGCAAAGGGGGGCCAGGGGGAAAAGUGCACCCGCUCCCGAUAAAGUACAAAUUUUUACUUCUCAUCUCUGGAAAAAAGUCCACACCGGCCGUCUACACCCGCGCCUGGGGGAGAAAGCAGGGAAGAAACGGGGGGUGCAUGAGAAACGUUUUCAUUUGCUCCAGGGGGAAAAAUGUUUCUGCAUCUUCUGAUGGAAAGAAAUCUUUACAAGACACAGGUUUUCCGGUGGUUAUUGUUUUUUAUUUUCUGUUUUUAAUUUUUUUCAUGUUAGUGACAGUGAUAUUUUAAUAUUUUUUUAAGCCAGUAAUAAUUUUUCUCCAUUACAGGGCUAAGUUCUGUGGCUGGUGGUCAGUUUGUAAAUUUAUACUUAAAGAGACUUAAUAGUAACUUCAUUUAUUUGUCUGGUUAUGUUAUUGUAUAUAUAAAUAUUUAUGUUUUCAUAUAUUGCAUAUAAAAAUUUGUGUUACAUGUUACUCUCAGAACAGAUUGCUGUAAGACAAUUGUAAAAAAACAUGUCUUUCGUCUGUUUCUCAAAGCAAUGUAAAUAAAACCUAUGGACUGUCCAGAAAGGCAUGAUACAGUGUGUCAUUUUCCACAGUGCAGAUAAAGGCAGCUAUCACUGGGGAUUUAAAAACGGCCCCUGUUUCUGGAAAUUCUGUUAUGCUGCCCAUACAGAAAGGAUACAGUAAAACUGGAAAGAGAUUUUAAAGACAGCCUUAGAUUUUUCUUGAGGUAAAAUAGCUUAUUAAGAAUUAUAUCCGGGCAUUUAAUUUUUUUAUUUAUUUAGAUUCUUUAAACUCUAGCUAGAUCUUUGGUGCAUUACACAUGUUGCUAUCUGCUUUUUGUGUCACAGAAUUGAGAAAUGUGGCUAUUUUUGUUAGUUAUGUUAGUUCAGAACUUCCAAUGUGCUGCCAGCCUGUAUGAUAGACUUUUUGUAUAUUGCAGUGGAUGUCAUGAAUUUACUUUUUUAAAUGAGCAAAGCUUACUAGAUAAAUGGGAUCAGAGUUAAACAAUGCUGUUAGCACAGAGGUGAGAGGGACAAAGGGUACCCAUUUACAUCGAUUCCAAUAGAACGCUUAUUGGAGGAUAAAUUGCAGAGACAUUUUUCUAUUUUUGUGAAGAAAGAGAAAAAUAAUAGAAAAAGAACCGACUAUCUUUGUAUGUUCUACUGGGGAUGAUGAUUUAAAUCUUGUAUUAAAAGUUAUUUUUCUAACACAUGUUGACUAACCUGGCAGGAAUGAAUUUGUU
rnacentral:lncRNA from 1 species